rnacentral:tRNA from 1 species
GCCGGAAUAGUAUAAUAUAUUACAUUAGUCUUGUAAACUAAGAAUGGAUCUACCCCUUCCGGAU